rnacentral:rRNA from 1 species
AACAAACGCUGGCGGCGUGCCUAAUACAUGCAAGUCGAACGGGGAAAGCUUUCGGGUGAGUACUAGUGGCGCACGGGUGAGGAACGCGUGGAUAAUCUGCCUUAGAGUGGGGGAUAACUAGUCGAAAGAUUAGCUAAUACCGCAUAAGACCACGAGAGCUGCGGCUUUUGAGGUCAAAGGUUUUUCGCUCUAAGAUGAGUCCGCGUAAGAUUAGCUAGUUGGUGAGGUAACGGCUCACCAAGGCGACGAUCUUUAACUGGUCUGAGAGGAUGAUCAGUCACACUGGAACUGGGACCCGGUCCAGGCCCCUACGGGGGGCAGGAGGAGGGAAUAUUGCACAAUGGGGGAAACUCUGAAGCGGCCACGCCGGGGGGAUAAUGAGGGCCUUGGGGUCAAAAAGCUCUGUCGGAGGGAAAUAACACAAGAAGGGAACCCGGUAAAAAAGGAUCGGCUAACUGGGG